UAGGGAAUCUUCGGCAAUGGGGGGAACCCUGACCGAGCAACGCCGCGUGAGUGAAGAAGGUUUUCGGAUCGUAAAGCUCUGUUGUUAAGGAAGAACGAGUGUGAGAAUGGAAAGUUCAUACUGUGACGGUACUUAACCAGAAAGGGACGGCUAACUACGUGCCAGCAGCCGCGGUAAUACGUAGGUCCCGAGCGUUGUCCGGAUUUAUUGGGCGUAAAGCGAGCGCAGGCGGUUAGAUAAGUCUGAAGUUAAAGGCAGUGGCUCAACCAUUGUAGGCUUUGGAAACUGUUUAACUUGAGUGCAGAAGGGGAGAGUGGAAUUCCAUGUGUGGCGGUGAAAUGCGUAGAUAUAUGGAGGAACACCGGUGGCGAAAGCGGCUCUCUGGUCUGUAACGGACGCUGAGGCUCGAAAGCGUGGGGAGCGAACAGG
rnacentral:rRNA from 1 species